UACGUAGGGUGCAAGCGUUUAAUCGGAAUUACUGGGCGUAAAGCGUGCGCAGGCGGUUUUGUAAGUCUGUUGUGAAAUCCCCGGGCUCAACCUGGGAAUGGCAAUGGAGACUGCAAGGCUAGAGUUUGGCAGAGGGGGGUAGAAUUCCACGUGUAGCAGUGAAAUGCGUAGAUAUGUGGAGGAACACCGAUGGCGAAGGCAGCCCCCUGGGUCAAAAACUGACGCUCAUGCACGGAAAGCGUGGGGAGCAAACAGG
rnacentral:rRNA from 1 species